rnacentral:rRNA from 1 species
CGGGUGCACUGAUCCAGCCGGGCCUUUCCCUCUGUGGAACCCCAUGGCUUUCACUGGCUGUGGCGGGGAAACAGGACUUUUACUUGAAAAAAUUAGAGUGCUCCAGGCAGGCCUAUGCUCGAAUACAUUAGCAUGGAAUAAUAGAAUAGGACGUGUGGUUCUAUUUUGUUGGUUUCUAGGACCCGCCGUAAUGAUUAAUAGGGACAGUCGGGGGCAUCAGUAUUCAAUUGUCAGAGGUGAAAUUCUUGGAUCUAUUGAAGACUAACUACUGCGAAAGCAUUUGCCAAGGAUGUUUUCAUUGAUAAGGAACGAAAGUUAGGGGAUCGAAGACGAUCAGAUACCGUCGUAGUCUUAACUAUAAACUAUGCCGACUAGGGAUCGGACGAUGUUAUUCUUUGACGCGUUCGGCACCUUUCGAGAAAUCAAAGUGCUUGGGCUCCAGGGGGAGUAUGGUCGCAAGGCUGAAACUUAAAGAAAUUGACGGAAGGGCACCACCAGGGGUGGAACCUGCGGCUUAAUUUGACUCAACACGGGGAAACUCACCAGGUCCAGACACAGUGAGGAUUGACAGAUUGAGAGCUCUUUCUUGAUUCUGUGGGUGGUGGUGCAUGGCCGUUCUUAGUUGGUGGAGUGAUUUGUCUGCUUAAUUGCGAUAACGAACGAGACCUUAACCUGCUAAAUAGCCCGUACUGCUUUGGCAGUUCGCCGGCUUCUUAGAGGGACUAUCGG